rnacentral:rRNA from 1 species
GACGAACGCUGGCGGCGUGCUUAACACAUGCAAGUCGAACGGAAAGGCCUCUUUCGGGGGGUACUCGAGUGGCGAACGGGUGAGUAACACGUGAGUAACCUGCCCUUGACUUUGGGAUAACUUCAGGAAACUGGGGCUAAUACCGGAUAGGAGCUCCUGCUGCAUGGUGGGGGUUGGAAAGUUUCGGCGGUUGGGGAUGGACUCGCGGCUUAUCCGCUUGUUGGUGGGGUAGUGGCUUACCAAGGCCUUGACGGGUAGCCGGACUGUGGGGGUGACCGGCCGCAUUGGGACUGAGAUACGGCCCAGACGCCUACGGGAGGCAGCAGGGGGGAAUAUUGCACAAUGGGUGGAAGCCUGAUGCAGCAACGCCGUGUGCGGGAUGACGGCCUUCGGGUUGUAAACCGCUUUCGCUCAUGACGAAGCUUUGUGUGACGGUAGUGGGUAAAGAAGCACCGGCUAACUACGUG